rfam:Cajanus cajan CcLG06_471, whole genome shotgun sequence.
GUUUAUCUCAGAGGAGUGAAUCUGAGAACACAAGGCUGAUUUCCACUGCCAUAUGAUAUAUGUUAUAAGGUGAAUUUACUUUGUGUUCUCAGGUCACCCCUUUGAGCCAACC